rnacentral:rRNA from 1 species
AGUGGCGGCAUGCCUUACCAUGCAGUCGAACGGUAGAAGUAGCAAUACUUUGAGAGUGGCGAACGGGUGAGUAAUACAUCGGAACAUGCCCAACUGUGGGGGAUAACGUAGCGAAAGUUACGCUAAUACCGCAUACGAUCUACGGAUGAAAGCGGGGGACCGUAAGGCCUCGCGCAGUUGGAGUGGCUGAUGUCAGAUUAGCUAGUUGGUAGGGUAAAAGCCUACCAAGGCAACGAUCUGUAGCUGGUCUGAGAGGACGACCAGCCACACUGGGACUGAGACACGGCCCAGACUCCUACGGGAGGCAGCAGUGGGGAAUUUUGGACAAUGGACGAAAGUCUGAUCCAGCAAUGCCGCGUGCAGGACGAAGGCCUUCGGGUUGUAAACUGCUUUUGUACGGAACGAAAAAGUCUUUUUUAAUAAAGAAGGCUUAUGACGGUACCGUAAGAAUAAGCACCGGCUAACUACGUGCCAGCAGCCGCGGUAAUACGUAGGGUGCAAGCGUUAAUCGGAAUUACUGGGCGUAAAGCGUCCGCAGGCGGUUCUAUAAGACAGAUGUGAAAUCCCUGGGCUCAACCUAGGAACUGCAUUUGUGACUGUAGAGCUAGAGUACGGCAGAGGGGGAUGGAAUUCCGCGUGUAGCAGUGAAA